rnacentral:rRNA from 1 species
AUUGAACGCUGGCGGCAUGCCUUACACAUGCAAGUCGAACGGCAGCACGGGAGCAAUCCUGGUGGCGAGUGGCGAACGGGUGAGUAAUAUAUCGGAACGUGCCCGGUCGGUGGGAUAACGUAGACGAAAGCUACGCUAAUACCGCAUACGAUCUACGGAUAGAAAGGCGGGGGAUCGCAAGACCUCGCGCGAUUGGAGCGGCCGAUAUCAGAUUAGGUAGUUGGUGAGGUAAAGGCUCACCAAGCCGACGAUCUGUAGCUGGUCUGAGAGGACGACCAGCCACACUGGGACUGAGACACGGCCCAGACUCCUACGGGAGGCAGCAGUGGGAAUUUGGACAAUGGGCGCAAGCCUGAUCCAGCAAUGCCGCGUGCAGGAU